rnacentral:rRNA from 1 species
AUUGAACGCUGGCGGAAUGCUUUACACAUGCAAGUCGAACGGCAGCACGGGGGCAGCCCUGGUGGCGAGUGGCGAACGGGUGAGUAAUACAUCGGAACGUGCCCGGUCGUGGGGGAUAACGUAGCGAAAGUUACGCUAAUACCGCAUACGAUCUGAGGAUGAAAGCGGGGGACCUUCGGGCCUCGCGCGCUCGGAGCGGCCGAUGUCAGAUUAGGUAGUUGGUGGGGUAAAGGCCUACCAAGCCGACGAUCUGUAGCUGGUCUGAGAGGACGACCAGCCACACUGGGACUGAGACACGGCCCAGACUCCUACGGGAGGCAGCAGUGGGGAAUUUUGGACAAUGGGCGCAAGCCUGAUCCAGCCAUUCCGCGUGCAGGACGAAGGCCUUCGGGUUGUAAACUGCUUUUGUACGGGACGAAAAGGCUCUGGCUAAUACCUGGGGCUCAUGACGGUACCGUAAGAAUAAGCACCGGCUAACUACGUG